rnacentral:lncRNA from 1 species
CCAACACAACAAGGCCUCAACUCGUCCCGAAUGUUGUGUGUAGAUGGAUGGUUCAACACCGACAUGAAACUAUCGUAAAGAUUAAGAAUUAAAAAAGGUUUAGAAUGAUGUUUUGUUUGUUGGUUCAAUUUGGUCACGGCUUGGGUUAAGAGUAUGUUAUGGUAAAAUGCGAGGAGGUUGUUAGAUGUUUCGUUGCAUUGUUUGAAUGAGGUUGAAGUUGUCAUUGAAGGUAGACAUCCAAUCGGUUGUAGAUUAUUCACAAUUACUUUCUUCACUCCCAAUCCUUUGAUGCGAAUAAUGUUUGUGAUUGUUUGAUUAAUCAAUGACUCUAUGAAUGAUGGUAAACCCUACAAAAUAUACAAAUUGUUCAGUCUCAUUCAUCAAAAUUCUUUAGUUAGCAAAAUAACUUCUGUAAAUUAUAAAAAAGUUAAAAAUCUAGUUCGUACAUGGACAAAUUUAAAUUGAUCAAUCUUUUGAGGGCAAUGGUUAAGGAAACUAAAAGUAACAUGUUUGUAUUGGUUUCAACAAUAUUUUGACUUUUAAAAAGUUAAAUUUAUCACUUUUCACCAUUUUCCAAUACCAUAUUUCUAUUUUUAUCCCCUUAUCUAAUGUCCUAAGAGCAGUAGUUAUCAUUCUCCAUUAUUUAUUUAUAUGUUAUUUGAUGAACCCCUAGACAAUUUGAGUGGAGCCUAGUGUUACACAUUAAAUUAUUUAUCGUGGACCUUUUUUAGUAUAUUUUAGUUUAUUCCAUUGGGCACUCUAGUCCUAUCAAUGAAAGAAGCCCUCAAUGUAAGGGUUCCUUUUUUUGUCCAUUUCCUCCUAUAAACAGAAAAGAAGGAUCUACCUAACGGUAACAUUGUCCUUAAUGCCAUCAUUUCAUUAUUUCCAUCAAAUUUUAAUUAUACAACGGGUGGCUAAUCAUCUUGUCUAAUGUUCUUGGGAGAAAACAUAUUUAUAUUUUUUGAUACAUCAUCUUGUCUAAUAUUAGAGGCUGUUAAAGAGUGUCAUAAAGACACUCGUUAGCACUUUUAUAAUGACGUUAUUAAUGUAUGUGAAAACUAAAUACCUAUUUAAAGAGCAAAGAAAUAUUGAGAGUCUCAUAAGAUAUAAGGAGGUAAGAUCUCUCUAUUUAUACAAACUCAGGUAUAAGGGAGAAUGAUAAAAAUGAUUUAUGUUGUGAAAGUGACUUAAAAUUGGAGAAAUUGAGUUUGCUGAAGCUGUCAAAAUCGGAGCACGAUUUUUGGAGCAGAAUUGACACUUUCAUUCGUAAAAAAUCAGAGCACGAUCUGGCAAAAUCGGAGUACGAUAUGGCAAAAUCGGAGUACGAUUUUGCGUAGAUUCAGAAAAAUAAAACGUAUUUUUGGGCCUGAUUUUGUUCCAAUUUAUGAGGGUUUCUUUUACUAUAAAUAUAGGCUUUGUAUCAGAGUAAACCUUGAGAUAGAUGUGGGAUGAAACAAGGGUUUAGAAUGGCAACAACAAAACUAGGGUUUGUAUAGAGUUUGUCUCUUUGGCAACAAACACUAGGGUUUGAGGGUUGAUUCACCUUGGAAAACACUAUUAGGAUUGAGUCUCUUGGUUACGGGAAGAGAUUGGAGCUUUGGAUAGAAUUAGGCGGAAAACUUAUUCUUGAAACCUAUUGAUAUCUCUUUUGUAACGUUACUCAUCAUAUAGUGAAAUGGAUGGCUGCUCUCUCCCCCAUACUAGGUCAAUUUUGAUCGAACUGGGUCAACAAAUUCUUUUGUUUUCUCUCUUCUUUUCUCUCAUUGUUUUCUACUUUUGCCUUGUGUUUAUAAUUGUUUUAUACACUUUAUUUUGGUUGCUUGAUUAUCCCUUACUCCACACAUCAAGUUUGUUAUUGGUGUGUUUUUUUAUCGAAUUCGCAACAAUUUCAAUAAUUAAUACACUUGG